rnacentral:lncRNA from 1 species
UACUGAUCAUGCUGAUAUACUGGAAGUUCAGCAAUAAUUUUUUGUCAAGGAUUCUUUAAGACCCAAAAGCUAUUGAGAAAUCUUGGUCUAAGGAGAAGAAAAGAGAGCCGAAGAUUGAAGCUUGAAGAAGUCCAGCGUUUCAGAUCAGAUGAGGAGCACUGGCUGGUAAAUGAAGAAGGAGAAGGAGCAACUGAAGAGGCAGUAGACAAUCCAAACGGAUCUAGUAUCAUGGAAACCAAGUCAGUGGAGGAUCUACUGGAGUGGCAUGGUCAGCUUUGUUGUGCUUUGAUAAGAGGGUCAACUCAGAUUCUCCAAGAAGCAGGCACCAAGACAGAAUUAGAUGUGAAAGAAAUACACUCAGAGAAAUGCUCUUGAAGGAUAAAGACGCCAAGGAGCAAGAGGAACUGUAAAAACCUCCAGAUCAUGUUGCUGUUUUCAAUAGUUCUUUAUAUAGAACUAAAUGAAAUUGUCUGAGUUUUGACAAUUAUAAUAUUUUAUUUCUGAUUAAUCAGAAAAUAGUUUGCCAUAAAAAUUUAUCACUUCUGAUAUUAGCACAUAAAUUUGUUUUUAUUGUAAUUUCAAAACUAAUGUCAAGACUGAGCAAAUCAUAAGAUGGAAGCACCUGUGAGUGCCUGGGACCCUCAAGAUCAUCAAAUCCAGCUUUCCCUGCAGAGAUGGUCUUUCAACUUUUGCCUGAACAUCAUCCUUGUGAGGGAAAUCGUUUCAUCACAAAGCAAUCCAGUUUACUACUGGAACACUGCAAUUAUUUGAAGAUUUUUGGCAUCACAUGUCACAACAUUGCUUCAUAUGAAUUGGUACUUAAAAGAAAACUCGACGCCAUAGAACUACAAAAUUAAAUCCAGGAAGAACCUCAGAGACGAUCUUCUUCCAACAUCCUCUUUCUCAGAUAAGGAAAUUAAGGUUUUAAAAGAUCUUGUGCCAAAAGUCACACAGUUGACUUGUGGCAGUUAAGAUUAAAUUUUAAAAUUCCUAAUGCAAUGUUUUGUUUUGUUUUGUUUUCCUGCAAAGUGUGACUGAGCUUGUUCUCCCUACCCAUCAUCCACUUGUUUCUUAAGCUAAGUGCAAAAUUUUACAUUUAUCCUUUUGUACAUGCAAUUUAGACUUUGUGAGCUCUCUGAAUCACCAGCCAUAGGAGUCUUUAUAAUGAUUAGGUGAAGAGAAUUCGAAAGUGGGCUAGUAAAAUACCCUGAAUCAUCAUAUUAAAAUGAUUUUCUGAUCCCAAAUGCUGUUUAGUCCCACUUUUCUCCCAAGGGCAGCCCCUGUGUUCUGCUCUGACUGGGCCCGUUCUUUUGCCUUACCUACUUUCUUGA